UUUUGUCUUGUUUGAACUCAUUUUAAGUUUGAUACACUCUUGUCCUAUUGAUCAGACUAAAAUGAGUAAACAUGUCUAAGUUCCUUAAUUCACACUUGCUAAGAGAUCAUUUUGCUCUGCGUUAAAACUCUGCAGCAGGUCAUCUAUAAAGAUAAUGCGAAAGAAGGAAGAAAGGGUGCAGGCUUUGAGGCUUUGGCUACUUCCUGUCAUGUUCAUUUCCUAAUCGCUCUCAGCCAAGAACAGAACGUUACCGUUUAGUGUUUGGGUUUCAUUCGGUGAGGAAAAUGUUCCUGUUAACAUCCACGCUGCUACUCGUCUCUGCAGAUCCGCUGAACUUGGCCUGGAGCAUCAUUCGCUGGCUGCUCUUCGUCCUGCUCCUUCUGGCUGUGAUUUCAACUCAUAUGUGCUACAACAGCAAAAAGGCAAAGGAUUGAGGCGUACGGUCUGAAAAUAUCCAGAUGGAAAAGAUUGAACGCUGUUACGAAGAAUUAUCUAAUAUAUUAAUACUAAACUUAUAGUUUGUGCAUAAAGCUUAAAAAUGUGUCUGUGUGUGUGUGUGUGUGUAAGAGAUUGUAUCUCAGCUUAUAUCUAAACCUUUGUUAACCCUGCAGUUACAAGAAGUGUAAUAUUAAUAUAUAAAAAUGAAAUGUGCAUAUAUAUAUAUAUAUAUAUAUAUGAUAUAUAAUAUAAAUAUAAUAUAUUGGUUAUUAAAAUAUAUCGGAACAGCAAGGCCCAUUAUUUUGUUUUUGUUAUACACUGAAUCCAUUUGGGUUUGAAAUCAAAAGAUGAAUAUAAGAUGAUUAGAUCAGAAUUUCAGCGUUUAUUUCCUGGUAUUUACAUCUAGAUGUUGUUUUAAACAACUCAGAACAUGGUUGAACAUAGGUGUGCAAAAGUAAUGGAACCGAUAGUCUUAAAGUAAAGAACACUUCAUGUUUGUAUGCAUGCCGUUGCUUGUAAAAACCGCAUCCAGCCUGCGACUCAUUGACGAAACCAAGCGGUUGCAUUUUUCUUUUGUGACGCUUUUCCAGACUUUUACCUCGGGUCUUUCAGUUGGUUUUGUUUUGGGGGGUUUCUCCCUUCAGUCUCCUCUUCAGGAGGUGAAAUGCUGAUGAACUGAGUUAAGGUCUGGUGAUUGACCUCGCCAGUCUAAAACCUUCCACUUUCCCCCCCGAUGAAGUCCUUUGUUGAGUUGGUAGAGUGUUUUGGGUCAGGGUCUUGCUGCACGAGGCAUUUCUCUGUAAAUUGGCAUCAAAAUAUUCCUGUAAACUCCUGAAUUCAUUCCGCUGCUACCUGUUCCAGAAGCAGCCCUGCAAGCCCAAGCUUGACUGGCCUUUCCGUCCGUUUGGUAGAGGUUAAUCUUGGUUGCAGAACUUUUCUCUCUCAUCUCUGUAUUUCUUUGCAAAUUCUAAUCUGGCUUUCUGAGCGGUUUGCAUCUUGUGGUAUGACCUCUAUAUUUCUGCUCACGAAGUCUUCUUCAAAGGGUGGAUUGUGAUACCUCUAGGGGUUGUUGGUGGUGUCACGGACUGCGGUUUUGGGGUUUUUCCUUCAGAGCGCUCACAAUGUUUCUAUCAUCAACUGGUGCUGCUUUCCUUGGCGGACCUGUUCCGUGCCUGGUUAUAGUAAACCAGCGGUUUCGUUCUUUAUCGGGACAGUCCAAAUUGUUGUACUGGCUAUGCCUAAUGCGUGUGCGAUCACCCCGAUAGAUUUUCUCCACUUCAAAAUGGCUUGCUUUUUCCCGCCAUAGACAGCUCUCUGAUCUUCAUGUUGGUUUAUCCUUUUUAACCACAAAUGCAGUCUUCACAGGCAAAACCCAGGGCUCAAACCAAGACUAGACAUUCAGAGAUAUUAAUUCUUCAUACAAUCAAUUUAACAGGGCACACCUGGGCAGCAAGAAACACUUAGCGGUCAAUUUUUGAUCACUUGAACAAAAUGCAUGGGUUCAAACACAAGGUGCCGUGGUCUAAGUUGUUUAACACGUCUAGAUGUAAAUAUGAGGAAAUGAAAGCUGAAAUUCUGAUCUGUCGUCUCAUAUUCAUCUUUUGAUCUCAAACAAACUGAGUGUGUGUAUAUAUAUGUCUAUGUAUAUAUAUAUGUGUGUGUGUGUGUGUAUAUAUAUAUAUAUGUG
ensembl:lncRNA